CCUACGGGAGGCAGCAGUAGGGAAUUUUCCACAAUGGGCGAAAGCCUGAUGGAGCAACGCCGCGUGCAGGAUGAAUGCCUUCGGGUUGUAAACUGCUUUUAUCUGUGAAGCGGUAGCAGAUGAAUAAGGAUCGGCUAACUCCGUGCCAGCAGCCGCGGUCAUACGGAGGAUCCAAGCGUUAUCCGGAAUUACUGGGCGUAAAGAGUGCGUAGGUGGCAUGGUAAGUUGAUAGUGAAAGCGUCCGGCUCAACCGGAUAUACAUUAUCAAAACUGCCAAGCUAGAGGACGAGAGAGGUAGCUGGAAUUCCUAGUGUAGGAGUGAAAUCCGUAGAUAUUAGGAGGAACACCGAUGGCGUAGGCAGGCUACUGGCUGUCCUGACACUAAGGCACGAAAGCGUGGGGAGCAAACGGGAUUAGAUACCCUUGUAGUC
rnacentral:rRNA from 1 species